GAUAUCGAUCUAAGCUUGCUACAUCUUCUUAUAUACUUCUGCAGUUUUUAGUGUUUUUGAAAUUCGGAUUUUUUGUUUGGAUCAGUUGAUGAGCAAAUACUGCAACAAUAUGAUGGAGAAAUCUUUAUGAUUCUUAGUAUUUAAGUCUCUGAUGAUCUUAUUUGUUUUUAUAUUUCCUCUCUUCUCCUUUUAGAUCUUGCACAUAGUCGUCCCUUUUUCUGAACAGAGAUGUGAUGAGUAACAAAUUGGUCCGUGUUUCUGAUUAACCGUGACUGAGAAUUUAUUAACCAAACUCUGAUCUCAAUAAGUUUUAUUAUUUGAAUCUUCAAAUCUUGGUUUUGUAUUAGAAAAACAAUGAGAACUCUUUGGUUUUUGGCUCUGUGAUUGCUUCGCCUUAUUGGCAAUAUACGCUAUUCUGAAAUCAGAGUAUGAAAGAUAAACAAACUGUACUUUAUGAGAGCCCAAUCGAAUAGUUAUUUUGAAACUUCUGCUGUGAUGAUCUUUUGAAUAAAAUUCACAUGUCAGACUUCAGAGAUCUUUUGAUCUAUGAGAAAAAACAUUCAUAAUUCUGAGCAGAAGUAACAACACAACCUGUUUCUCCAAUACUAAAAAUAACCAAUUGUAACUUGUAGUAGAGCUAAGAAGAUAUUAAAAAAAAGGUCGAACAGAGAGCUAAUUUGAUAUAUCCGUCUCAUUCAAAUGC